UCACUAUGCAUUUCCACUUAGCACUUUCAUCUAUGCAUUAUCAUUAUCAUGCAUUCUUUACAUUAGUUAGCAUUUUACUUUAUGCAUAUCUAUUAAUGCACCAUUUAGUCUUGUCUACAUGCACAAGCAUCAACAUGAGAUUACAUUGCUAAGACAUAAAGGGCGACCUAGUCGCUUCGGUAAGCACAACCCACCUUAACUCGCGUUCCGAUUGCUUGUCGACACUUGCAAUCGGCCUCCCGCGGCACUCGGCACCCGUUUGGGCCCGAACUCUUGCGCGACUUAGCGAACGACCUCCGAACUGCGAUCCGUCUUUUCCGGAGUUUAUUCCUUGACUCCAAGAUGCUUCGGUUCCGAUCUCACGAUUUUUAGGCUUUUAUUUCGCGUGCUGCGGCCAUCUGUACCAAAACCGACCGUUUCGUCAAUAACUUCGCGUACACUCGUUGGAUUGUCGAACCGAACGUUUCAACGCGUUCAUUAGAUCCCCAAUUGGGUUUCCAAGCGGUCAAAAUAGAUCAAAACUCUAUAUGAGCAAAACCCCUCUUUGGGAUGCCCUAACAUGACAUAUGCUCAAUACUCCGAUUUCGAUCUAUAAAACAAGCAAAAGAGAGCUUGUUUAUCAUCUAGGAGCUCAACUAGGAGCAUUCGAACCAUUUCUAGGGUGUUUAAAGCAAACCCUAGAAAUCCACCAUUAGAGACUCAUGAAGAACAACAUGGAUUUCAUGUGUUCUUGGUCUCUACAAGGUUCUAAACAUAUUAGAAGCUUCAAAACUCUAGGUUUUAGGGUUUAAAAACCAACCCUAACCCUAUUCCUACCAUGAGAGGUGAUAGGAACUUACCUCUCAAGCUCCUCCAAGCAUGAGGAAGAUGAAGGUGAGGAUGAGCUUCAUCUUCACCAUCUUUUUCUUCUUUUUCUUUCUUCUCUUCUCUUGUUCCUCUUCUCUUUCUUCUUUUUCUCUUCUCUUCUUUUCUCUUUGCUACCCACGGUUGAGAGGGGGAGAGAGAGACACGAGAGGGAGAGAGAGAGAGAGCUGGGGUUAUAACAUAUUGUAACAAUUGCCAAAAGAUCCCCCAAACAUUUAUAUUUGCAACAGAUCAAUUCUGUGCUGUUCGGGCUCCUUGUACCGGUACACGGUUUCUUGUACUGGUACAAGGCCUGGCAGACAGCCCAACCCGAGAGCUGGCUCUCUCGGUUGCGCAGGGCUUGUACCGGUACAAGACCCCUUGUACCGGUACAAGGCCUGGCAGCUCCAAGCCGAGUACUUCGCUGGCUGUACCGGUACAACCAUUGGGCUUGUACCGGUACAAGACAUCCAGAAUGUCAUUUUUGACUUCGAUUCCACUCUACUUCGCGCCGUUCGAUGCCAAUACAAGGGUUAACCAGGAUACAACCACUACACUGAACAUACAGACAUCCAAUAUCUAUAUAUAUCCAUGCAUCAUUCACCACAGGUUCACAUUCAUGAUUUGAACAUAAAAUCACAACUAUCAGUUAAAACGUUUCCAACUCAGAAACGGAUUUUGAAAUACUAAGUUAUGAAAACUACGAAAAACCUUUUGAAAGCUGUUUCUCACACGGAAAUUCUUUUCUUUUAAAACGCGCUACCACGAGGGGUAAAAAACUAUUUUUUAUUUCACAAAAUCCACAAAUCCAUUUAUUACAUUCAUAAACACCCACAUUUUCAAAUGUAAUAAAAAUACUGAACCAUAUGAACUAUCUAAGCUAUAUCAACAGAAUAGUAAGGGUAGAAACUAAACCGAAUAACCUUGAUCGGAAGCUCUAUCGACCGCUACGUACGUAUCUCACGUCUCGUAUAAACCCUCACCGCCCGCGAUACCUGAAAAAUAGUGGGGGAGGUGAGAACAUGUAAACAUGUCUCCCCUCCCAGUGGGUACUGCAAGCCGAAGAAGGCGAGGAGUACUCACCGGAUCAGGAAGAGCUAAACAGCAGUACGGGUCAGUGGAAAUACAGUAGCAAUAAUAAUGAACGAAAGAGACAUAUAUAAAUGAAAGUACAACUAUCGCUACUGUAAUGAACAACUGAAUGUAUACAUGCAACAAAACUAUAGUAGCAAGACAACUGUAAAGAAAGAACGGUAAGUAUACAUGCAACAACCGCUACUAUAGUCAUAUGCGUAAACCGGAUAAGAAGUCCAAAUAUACCCAAUCUGGUACCUGCUAUAUUGGUCCACAGACCUCAAGCGUUGCCUGUCACAGAGGAGACACUGUCAACUUAUUCAUGCGUCACCGACGACCUAUCCGGAUACGUACACCCCUUGGUUGGUGGACAAACCAACCUGGUGUCUAGAAUACACAGUGCUGUGACUAAAUUAUGCUGAUAUGCUCAAAACAAAAACCGACUGAAGCCGGUGCCUAGGCCGAAGCCAGAACAAGGGCGCACAACGCCGAACCACGAUCAAUCAGAUCGAAACACAUGACAAGAGAGUCGAUGUGUUGCCUGGACCCAAGGUCCACAGAGUCCAACCGACCAACAAGGUCACUGAUACAAAGUACAAGAACCGACCAACUAGGUCAACAGAUACGGAAUGCAGAUAGAACUACUCUACUCCUACUCAGGAUACUAAGCAUGCAAACAACGAGUAGAGUAUAACGAAUAACAAGGAUGCAAGGCUCAAUAUAGGUACUAUGUAGUCAUAAUAACCAAAGAGUAAGGGUAAGAAACCAUCACCGAGCGUGCACCACUGUACCGACUUCGGAUCGAAGUACCCACCUGUAAGGAUGUCGCGCCUGUCUUCUGACUGUGAAAGAAUGUCAACCAGACCUACAGAGGGUCCACUGGGUUAAUAUCUAACCCACAACUAAGCAUAACCUCACAAUUAAACCCACGGAGAUCGGUUUUCCAAAACCGACUAUCGUAACUCGCCAGAAGUCCCGAAACUGCACCGGGACUCCGUCGGGACCCAUGAACUGUUCCGGAAUGCACCGACUCGCGCUACGAGUCACCCGCUACCACAAAAAACAUCAAAUAGGAUGUCUUGGCAGCAAACACAAGAAUACACAACCAAACAACUAUCGUCGGAUAAUCGUUCGCAUCCGGAUUCCCGGAAGUGUCAAUUUCGACACUGGAACCCACCAUAGCUCACCCGUCGUUUUCGAACCCCCGAAACGACCCGGGUGACCAGCCAACCAAGCUCAGCGACUACACAAUAGUUCAUGAAGCACCGUCGGAAUAAUUCCGAGCCGAAGCCGCGUUCCGUC
rnacentral:lncRNA from 1 species